AACAUGAAACUAGAAGUUUGCAUGGAUCCUUAAGGGUAUGUGGCAAGGCAGCAAAAAGAGAUUUCUUGGUCUUCCCCGGUUUAUCAAACUCAAUUCAAAUGGGGCUCAUGAAGUGGCCAUGAGAUAUGCCUCGGCUGGGGUUUGCUUCGUGAUCAUACUAGCUCCUGGUGCGGUGGAUUUGCUGGGAAAAGUGUAGCAUAGUCAUGGUAGAG
rnacentral:lncRNA from 1 species